rnacentral:rRNA from 1 species
AUGAGAGAAGUAGUAAGUAAUAUCAGGACAGCGUCUCCCCGCGUUCUCGAUCUGGCGCCGCCACAUAUCAUGAUUCUGGAUCGGGCGCAGGUCAUCGCCAUAAGAGAGCCUGGCUGGUGUGGUCUUCAUGCUUGGUGUGUAGAAGCACGGGGGAUGAGUAGGACGGGCAUGGUGAAGGAGCAGCUAGGCUGGAGCUCCGGCGUUGCUCGUGUCAUGGUCGAAUGGAGCCGGCCAUCACUAUGGGCUGCUGCUCACCGGUCGUCAUUCCCCAAUCUCAGUUGCUCAUCUUUGGCUUCACCAUCUUCCUCCCCUGAUCAUGCAUCUAUUUUAGAUCAUAUAAUUAUGCUAUAUCAUAUAUGUUGUUUAGUUCAGACUUGUGCAUGUGCAUGCAUUGGCAUUGAUUUAGACAAAGAUAUUGCAUGA